AUGACGUUCACCGGGCCUGUUAGGAAGUGGCGGAAGGAAUGGGUCACCAUCUCCGCCGCCACGGCCACGGCCACCUCCGCCGCGGCCUCCUCCACCGGGACUGGAUCUCGUGGAAAUAACCUCAUCCUGUUCAAGUGGACCCCGCUGAACGGCGCCAACGAACGAGAUGAGGAGCAGACGGCACCGGCGAAGACGGCCACGAGAAGGCGGCUGUACGUGCCGGUUUCUGUAGUUCAAGAUCAAAGGCAAGAAUCUGCCAAAUCUGAUGAUGAGAACAAGGCUAAUGAUGGAGAACCUUCAUCUACGGAAACUGAGCAGUCUAUUGGGAAAACUAAUAUGGAUGAUAUACUUAUGGAUGAGUCCCAGGCAUCAGAUGAGGUUCGAGAUUCUGGAAAUUUCGUUGGUGGAACUGAUCUAAAUCUGAACUUAGGUCCAAAAGACCCCGACGGUGAAGAUGAAGGUGAUACAGGUGAGCAACACGAGGUUCGAACAGAACACAGAUUGAAGAGGAAAUCUGUUACCCCUGACCUCGAGAUGAGAAUGUAA
rnacentral:rRNA from 1 species